rnacentral:rRNA from 1 species
GUGGGGAAUAUUGGACAAUGGGGGGAACCCUGAUCCAGCCAUGCCGCGUGUGUGAAGAAGGCCUUUUGGUUGUAAAGCACUUUAAGCGAGGAGGAGGCUACCGAGAUUAAUACUCUUGGAUAGUGGACGUUACUCGCAGAAUAAGCACCGGCUAACUCUGUGCCAGCAGCCGCGGUAAUACAGAGGGUGCAAGCGUUAAUCGGAUUUACUGGGCGUAAAGCGCGCGUAGGUGGCCAAUUAAGUCAAAUGUGAAAUCCCCGAGCUUAACUUGGGAAUUGCAUUCGAUACUGGUUGGCUAGAGUAUGGGAGAGGAUGGUAGAAGGACAGGUGUAGCGGUGAAAAUCGUAGAGAUCUGGAGGAAUACCGAUGGCGAAUGCAGCCAUCUGGCCUAAUACUGACACUGAGGUGCGAAAGCAUGUGGAGCAAACAGGAUUAGAAACCCUUGUAUCC